rnacentral:rRNA from 1 species
GCUAGGACGAACGCUGGCGGCGUGCUUCAUACAUGCAAGUCGAACGAGAAAUUACCUUCGGGUAAUGGAAAGUGGCGGACGGGUGAGUAAUGUGUAGAGAAUCUGCCCUAGAGAGGGGGACAACCGUUGGAAACGACAGCUAAUACCCCAUAUGAGCGUAACUGAAAUGUUAUUCUUGAAAACUCCGGUGCUCUAGGAUGAGUCUGCAUCUGAUUAGCUAGUUGGGGGUGUAAUGGACCACCAAGGCGACGAUCAGUAGCUGAUUUGAGAGGAUGAUCAGCCACAAUGGGACUGAGACACGGCCCAUACUCCUACGGGAGGCAGCAGUAGGGAAUUUUGCGCAAUGGGCGAAAGCCUGACGCCAGCAACGCCGCGUGAUCGAGACGCUUUUCGGAGUGUAAAGAUCUGUCACAGGGGACGAACGAUGACGGUACCCUGAGAGGAAGCACCGGCUAACUCCGUGCCAGCCGCUGC